rnacentral:lncRNA from 1 species
UUUCAUAAAAUUUAUAUUCUUAUUGUGCAUUAGAAAUAGGGUCCUUAACACUAAUAGACAACAAUUAGAAAGUAAUUACACUAUUAGUGCAUCUACAAAAUAAUUACAAAAAUAACGCAAUUCACAUUAAUAAGGAAACCUAAAAUCAAAGAGAAUUAACUGCCAUAAUUACUAAUUCAAAUUCAAAUAUCUGGGAUCUAAC